rnacentral:lncRNA from 1 species
GCCAGGGAAGGAUCUCUGAGCACAUGGCUUUUCGCAUUUGGACCCUAUGAUUAGCGCUGCGCUAAGCAGGGGAGGCAGUAUUUUCCAGAAGGAGGGGCUCCUGUCCCGGGCAGACAAACAAUGGGCCCACUCCCCCGGUGUUCUGAGCUCUUCCUCACCCCCAGGCUGAGGACUCAGGCCCUCACUGCCUCCCCUCCGCCUCUCCCGGGCCAGGGGGUCCCCUCAGAACCCACUGUUUUAUUGCUUAAAAAUCCAUAAGAGAUGGGGGUUUUCUCAGCUAAGUUUUUUGCGGGGGGGCGGAAUACACGUCUGGGGCGGGAGCUGUACGAUUUUCUGAGGAGACGGCCUCGGAGGAUCUAAGCAACGAGUGAAGGAACAACAAAGGGACCCUUCUCAGAAGCAUGGCAAAAAUGAAACCAAAUAAAAACCCCAUAAAAAUCCCUACUGGGGCAGAGGAAAUACCAGCGUGAUGCUUUUGAGCCACAUCUUCAGUAAUAAAGGAAAGAUUCAAGGAUCGGCCGUUCUGACGGGAUUAUGUUUGGGCUUGAGGGAGAAUGUGCUGGAAAACAAUGAAAGGGAGUCAUCCAAGCAAGGGAGGUCUGUUGGUGCGUGCAUUUGUAUGUGUGUUGUUGCAAUUCAGGAACUGACCGAUGACCAGGGUCAUGGGGAGUCUGAGAGAGACACCCGACAGGAACCGGUUCAAAGUUUGUGCCCAGCCUGGGGAGAUCAGAUGACCGGCAGCUGGCCUGCCCCCUGCCGGCUCCCAUUGAUGUCGGAGGGGCUCUGACCCCCGUUUGGUCACAGAAAUACCCGUUUGGAAAUCUCUUUGAAGGCUGAUUAAGUAAACGCUCUCGCGGCACCGACAGUAACAACCGAGUGACGUAGUCGAAGUGCUCGUGGUAAGUGGAGGAAUCUCUGGCUGCCAAGCUGACAGGCAACUCGCCUUUCUGUUCCUCUAACUUGGCCUCCCUGCUUCCGGUCGCAGUGUCGGGCACAGUGUUUCGAGGGGACGGGGCUGAGGAUGUGGAGACUCUCACUGUCAUCGCGCGGGUGGGACAGGGCCCCAGGGACGGAGCGUGGUCCUGCCGCACAGCAGCUGGCCGCGGCCAGUGACCGGUAGUCCUCCCGGCACGGCUAACCUUUGAUGUUGCUCGUGGGGUCCUUCCAUCUGGUUUGUGGCCUCAGGCUGCUGUGACCCCCAGCGGGGGUGUCUCCCCGGGCCUCCCGGGGCCCGGCAGGGUGAGCGUGAAGGAAAAGUCUGGUUUUCAUCCGGGAGCGUGGAGCCCCUCUCUGCGUGACGGCUCUGCUCGCGGCCUGGCCAACUGGACGAGAGCUGCCGGACGGGGGAGUGGGGGCCCCUUCGUCACUUUACUGCCCUCGUUAUCUUGGAGACCCCGUUGUCGUUGGGGGUGGGGGGGGAGCGGGCUGCCAGCCCUGGACCCAGCUAUGCCUCCGUACCCGGCAGUGUUGACGUCCGUUCAUUCACUUCAUCCGUCACGGAUCCAUCCACUUACCCAUUCAUCCGGGGCUGUCGUUCAGUCAUUCGGUGACUAUGUGACCAGGUCUCCUUAUCUUUUAUCUUUGCUGCCUGGCACAGGGCCAAGCUUGUAGGAGGGACUCCACACACGUUCGCUGACUUCUCUUCCUGCUUCACCUCUGUUAUGGUUCACGGUCUACGUUCACGUCCAUGAUGUUGAAGUGCUAAUCCCCAGGACCCUGGAAUGUGACUGUGUUUGGAGAUAGGGUCUUUAAAGGGGUAGUUACGUUAAAAUGAGGUCAUUUUAAGUGAAAAUGAGGCCCUGAAGCAAUCCUUUUAAAAAAAAUUUCUUUUAAUGUUUAUUUUUGAGAAAGAGAGAGACAGAGCAUGAGCAGGGGAGGGGCAGAGAGAGGGGAAGACACAGAAUCCGAAGCGGGCUCCAGGCUCUGAGCUGUCAGCACAGAGCCCAACGUGGGGCUCAAACUCGUGAACCGAGAGAUCAUGACCUGAGCCGAAGUCGGACGCUCAACUGACUGAGCCACCCAGGCACCCCCAAACCAAUCCUUAUAGGAAGAGGAGUUCGCAACCCAGGCACAUACAAGGGGAAGAUGAUGUGAAGACACAGGGGGGAAGACAGCCAUCGACAAGCCAAGGAGAGAAGCCUGGGACCGAUCCUUCGUCCAAGAAGGAGCCAACCCUGUCGACACCUUGGUCUUGCACUUCCAGCCUCCAGAGCUGUGGGGAAAUAAAUUUCUGUUGUUUAAGCUGUCCCAGUUUAUGGUGCUUUUUUAUGGCCACC